rnacentral:rRNA from 1 species
UACAGAGGUCCCAAGCGUUGUUCGGAUUCACUGGGCGUAAAGGGUGCGUAGGUGGCCUGGAAAAGUUUGAUGUGAAAGCUCGGAGCUUAACUCCGAAAUGGCAUUGAAUACUACUGGGCUUGAGGGUCGGAGGGGAGACUGGAAUUCUCGGUGUAGCAGUGAAAUGCGUAGAUAUCAGGAGGAAUACCGGUGGCGAAAGCGACUCUCUGGACGGUAACUGACGCUGAGGCACGAAAGCGUGGGGAGCAAACAGG